AAAAUCUUCGAUCAGAUUGGGCUGAUUAUAUUAUAGGCACAGACGUGUCGAUUUCAUCACAAUAUUAUCCUUCACCGAGAAGCUCCUGGAAAACUUCAAAUUAUAUUUCGCACAUAAAUACCGAGAAACUCAGGGGUCAGCUUUGAACCCGCGGCCUCGGCUUGAGACGCGCUAGGUCCAAACCAUUAGGGAGCAUUUUUUCGACACGAAUUUCUCGCGUGCUUCUAACUGUCAUGACGCAGUUUUUAAUUAUAAAGCAAUAAGGAGUCAUAUUCAUUGGCGUUUUGAUUUUUAUUGGGAAAAUGUACUUAUUGUACUUGUUUUUGUUCGUUGCCGCUUCUUCCGUUUUUGCUAAGCCGCAGGUACCUUAUGACUAUAUACCAAUUGGUCGAGUCCGGGAUGGUAAUGCAAGACGUGGUGAAUUUGGCGGACCCCAUCCAUCGGACAAUUUCUUCAACUAUGAAAAAAUGUACCCAGCACGACGCAAGUGGCUGGAUGUUACUGUUGAUAAAUAAAUUUAUAUAAAAUAUUUUUGGUUCCUUUCCUUUUACGUCACUUGGUGAAAAGUGAAAAUGU